rnacentral:rRNA from 1 species
CGCCGCGUGAGGGAUGACGGCCUUCGGGUUGUAAACCUCUUUCGUACCGACGAAGCGCGAGUGACGGUAGGUACAGAAGAAGCACCGGCCAACUACGUGCCAGCAGCCGCGGUAAUACGUAGGGUGCGAGCGUUGUCCGGAAUUAUUGGGCGUAAAGGGCUCGUAGGCGGUUUGUCGCGUCGGGAGUGAAAACUCGGGGCUUAACUCCGAGCCCGCUUUCGAUACGGGCAGACUAGAGGUAUGCAGGGGAGAACGGAAUUCCUGGUGUAGCGGUGAAAUGCGCAGAUAUCAGGAGGAACACCGGUGGCGAAGGCGGUUCUCUGGGCAUGACCUGACGCUGAGGAGCGAAAGUGUGGGGAGCGAACAGGAUUAGAUACCCUGGUAGUCCACACCGUAAACGUUGGGCGCUAGGUGUGGGACUCAUUCCACGAGUUCCGUGCCGCAGCUAACGCAUUAAGCGCCCCGCCUGGGGAGUACGGCCGCAAGGCUAAAACUCAAAGGAAUUGACGG